UUCCUCCUCACUUGCGCUCCCCCUUGCUCCACCCACCUAUUUUCAUCUCCCGCAGAGUUCUGCCGCCUCUUCCUCUUCGUCACUGUUGCGGUCGCAGGGGGUCCAAGCAAGCAUGUGAAGAUGAGGUGUGGAUUUUGGCACGGCAGCCCGCUGUGCAGCUAUCGAGGUUCUGAGAGACAGGUCAAGAGGAUCAGCGGCCGCUGUCUGUCUGCCAGCCCACCUGGACGAGCCCAAGUUCCCACUGAGGGAGGAGACGCUGUGGUCGUGUUGCUCCAGCGCCCCGCGACCCUGGACAGGAUAAGCGGUUUGGAGAAUGAAUGGAUGUGCAUUUUCAUCGUCAUGGACGACAUCAUGUCACUGCUCUAAAGUGAAAAGGUGUUUUUCAGCGCAAGGCCAACUCGAACCAGUUGAAACAUUGCAGUGGCUCAGAAAACAAGAUUUCUGGAUUACAAUUAUGCACCCAUGACUAGCGCUCACAUCGCCGAGAGGAGGUCCCCUGGUGGAACCCUGCUCCCUAUACACACAGCUGCAUGCCAUUCUCCUCAACAUCCCUGCCUCCCUCCGUUCAUCCGUCAUGAGUCGGCCGCUAAAUGAAGCAAAGCACCUCGCCUUUGACCCCUUUCAAUGAGCCAUUAGGUCUUCCAGGGGUGCAAGACUCCCGCGGUCCAGAGGGGAGCGAUUUGGAGUAACCCGCUUGCAUCGGUAAUGUCCCAGAGCAUUCAGGGUGCAUUAAGCCUGUGGACAUCCCCUCCAUCUAGACUGCACUCUCUUCCCCUUUGCCUGGAGGCAUCAUCUUUCUCUGCAUUCAUUUAUUCUCCUUCUUUCACAACUGUGACAGUGCGUUGAGAACGGGGAGCAAAAACCGAUGAAUUAAAAGCUGUUGUCGCGAUCUAACCCAUUUGUUCGCAGCCAAGAUCAAAUGCUGGAAGGACGUCAUAAUUUAACAUAACUCCAAAUGCAUAUGAAAACAGAGAGAUAUAAGGGCUACGUAGGGGUUACUUUCAAUCAAUUUCAAUUCAAUGUAUAACGUUCUCAACGUAAACAGAAGGAAGCAUCGGCAAUAAGGUUUGCUGACAAGACACAACACAGUGAUAGUAUUUCAGUAAAUAAGGUGUGAGGUGCAAUGUACUACUUACAAAAAGCUCAACUCAUCAAUAUACAGUAGACUUCUGUGGUCAUAUACUAUUCCAUGUCAAACAGCUCAAAAAGAGCAUCGUUGGACCUUGAAUUGUCCCCUCGGGUACUCUUUUAUUACCCAUCAACCAUCACUGCAUCAUGGCUUCCCACUCACUAGACCACCUGUCCUUCCAAUCUCCUGCCGUCCGUCCGUCCGUCCGUCCGUCCGUCCGCUUGUCUUGUUUCAUCCAUCAAUGCAUUUAUUCUUCAAUCUCCUUUCUAUUUUUUUCCCCGGGUCGAUUCACCCCCUCGAUCCGUCUGUGCUUCCUCGAGCCGUUCCUCAUCCUGCUCACUCGUCCAUUCCUCUUGUUGAGUUCUCAGGCUCAUUUGGGAUUUGACAAGUCAGAGAUGAAACCGGACCAGUGCAGGAGGACUCCAUUUGAAUAUUUCCUUACAUAAUAGGACAAUGUGGGUCACAUUUGAAGAAUGCUUCAAUGCACAGUGUACAAAACCAAAUGUGUGUAUCAGGACAAUAUUUGAAACA